UCCUAAUUUCUGAUGUUCAUUCAUAUAAAAAAAGUAAAAGAGCACAUCUAAAGAACAAAAAAAAAUUCAGAAGAACUUGAUCUUGAAGAAGAAACAAAUUAUCUUUUGGAAAAGAGGAAGAAGAAGAAGAAGCCCUUUCCCAGUGGAGCUUCCACGGCACCUGCCAAAUUUUUUGAUGCUUUCACAGAAUUCAAUUGCAAUACCGUAUCUAAUGCGUUUGUUUGUUUGUUGUGUUUCAGGUAUUUCUAGAAAUUCUUUGCACAAGAGGCGCACCACUGGUGGAAAGAAGAAGGUUUGUAGUUUGGAGGAAGAAGAGAAAAUGGCCUUCUAUUUCCGUUGUGGUCAAUGAGACUAAAGGCUAUAACAAACUCUCUAACUUUCAUUGGACCUGUUGGGUGAAUUCUCAGUGUUUCUUUGAGUAUUGCUUGAAGAUAAGGAAGGUUAAACUUCUCUUGGGAAUGCUUGUCACAAAGUGUGGACAGGGUGCUGUUAAAGAUGUCAUACCCGAAGAACAUAUGAAACUUCUUACCAACAUACGCAAGAUCCAGGAACGGAAAGAGAGAAAAUGGGGUGCUAAAUCUGAGGAAACUAAAUCACAUUUCUCCAAAGCAACCAAGUCCGGGCAAAGUAUGUAGAAUCAUACAAAAAUCUUUUCAGAUUUUGAUGAAGAAAGUGGUGGGAGUGAUUUUUUAGA